rnacentral:rRNA from 1 species
UACGUAGGGCGCAAGCGUUGUCCGGAAUUAUUGGGCGUAAAGAGCUCGUAGGCGGUUUGUCGCGUCUGCUGUGAAAGCUCGAGGCUCAACCUCGGGCUUGCAGUGGGUACGGGCAGACUAGAGUGCGGUAGGGGUGACUGGAAUUCCUGGUGUAGCGGUGGAAUGCGCAGAUAUCAGGAGGAACACCGAUGGCGAAGGCAGGUCACUGGGCCGCAACUGACGCUGAGGAGCGAAAGCAUGGGGAGCGAACAGG